rnacentral:misc_RNA from 1 species
AGCAGCCGCGGUAAUUCCAGCUCCAAUAGCGUAUAUUAAAGUUGCUGCAGUUAAAAAGCUCGUAGUUGAAUUUCGGGACUAAUAUGUCGGUCGUGCCUCGGUACGUACUGGCUUAUUGGUUUCUCCUUUCUGAAGAACCAUGAUGUCAUUUAUUUGGUGUCGUGGGGAAUCAGGACUGUUACUUUGAAAAAAUUAGAGUGUUUAAAGCAGGCUCACGCUUGAAUACAUUAGCAUGGAAUAAUGAAAUAGGACGUUUGAUUCUAUUUUGUUGGUUUCUAGGAUCGACGUAAUGAUUAAUAGGGAUAGUUGGGGGCAUUAGUAUUCAAUUGUCAGAGGUGAAAUUCUUGGAUUUAUUGAAGACUAACUACUGCGAAAGCAUUUGCCAAGGAUGUUUUCAUUAAUCAAGAACGAAAGUUAGGGGAUCGAAGACGAUCAGAUACCGUCGUAGUCUUAACCAUAAACUAUGCCGACUAGGGAUCGGAUGAUG